GCCUCUGUAGCUCAGUUGGUUGGAGCGCUGCACCGGAAUCGCAGGGCCGUAGGUUCAAUUCCUACCAGAGGAC
rnacentral:tRNA from 1 species